CUGAACAAAAUCUAAACUCCCUAUUCAUCCAGAUCCAAUAUUCCAUUCUAGCGAUGUAGCUGCAUGUGACUCCCGGCAGUGGGAUCAGAUUCCAGCAUGCCAUAAUCUCUUAGUGUUCUGGCACAAAAGCAGGUUGCGCUGGAGCAGAGCACUGCAAAAGGAAUGUUCGGCCACCAUUAACCAGGAUGAUAAAGGAAACAGGCAAUGAAGGAUACAGGGCAUACAUUCUCCAACAGGAGACAGUGUGGCAAUGGAACCUGCUUUGCAGGGGAAAAUGGAAAGAUUAAGCAUGUAGCUGUAAAGCGACAGACUCUUUUGUCCAUUGCUAGGAAGGUUUGGAGAAAGCAAGCCACAGCAGUCCCUAACUCACUUAGUGCGAUGACUGCACGGACAGCUCCCACCACU